GGCGGGCGGGGAGGGGAGCCCGCGAGAGGCGGCGGCCGCGCCGGCCUGGUCGGCUCCUUGCUUCUCCUCCCCACUCGUCCCCCCGUGCUGCGGGAACUGGAACUCUCCCUGGGACCGGGAGGAGACUGAGACGCGGUCCGGAGAGCGGGAGGGCGCGGACGGAGGAGCACCUGCGCCUGCACCUGCAGCACCUGGGCGGGCGGUCGCCGGACAUGCGGGCUCCCGCCCCGCCCCCACUCGGCGCACUCCCGGUCUGCACCGCGGGGGCCUGGCGGGGCCCGGGCCUCAACCCAUCCUCCCGCCCCUGCGGAGCCCCGGGUGCUGCAGCGCCUCGAAAACAAAACGUUGGAUUCUCCAUCCCGUCUUCUAUCUUGUUUCUCAAAAUCCGAGAGGCAGAAUUUAGGGAAGGACAAGCAACUAGUAAGAGGAGCGGGGGAGUCUGAGCCCGCAGGCGCCUUGAAGUCUGAAACCUUGGAGGUAUCCCAACCGUGCUUCGCUGAUCAAUCACCAGCCCAACUGAUCCUGCAGCACAGAUGUUUGGAAUUCUUUCCUGCUUCAUCAUUCCUACUUGCCGGCUCCCAGUCAGCUCUUUAGCAGGGCUCACCUGGACUGUUGGCGAGUUCACCUGGAGUGUUGGCGAGAGCCUCCCUCUCAUUCGAGCCCAACUCCAGGCCCAACUCCAAGGCGAUCCUCCGCUCCCCCACCCCAGGGCCCCCCCAGUUGUGACCCACACAGGCGCCCCAUUAUUUUGUUAUUUCAAAUACAAAUGGAUUUCAUGGACUUCCAUAAGGAGGCAUGUAAUAUCUGGUUGUUUCUUUUUUUGUGAUGUUAGCAGCCAUUCAUGAUCAUCAUCUAGAUUCUCUAUCUUUCAGGGGUGUAAGACAGUGAUACUCAAAUUCUUCUUUUGCUUUUUAAUAGCUGUAAUGCUUCCACAGGGGAAACAGUUGCAUAGUUGUAUGGAUGCUUAGCUCAUGAGGGCUAAUGUUCACACGUGUAAGCCAAAUUUCAAAUUUCUCCUAGUUAAUAUUUGCAUAAAAACAUCUCAAACCUUCUUCCCAGCACUCCAUUUAUAUACUGGAUGGCGGGGGCAGAGAGUUUCUCCUAUCCACUUCUUGUUCUGCUUUCCCUUUGAAUUUACAUCUCACUCCUGUCGUUUGGCUCCUCUUUCUUUUCUUUCUUUCUUUCUUUCUUUCUUUCUUUCUUUCUUUCUUUCUUUCUUUCUUUCUUUCUUUCUUUUUCUUUCUUUCUUUUUUUUUUUUUUUUUUUUUUGGCUCUUCUUUCUUUCCCCAAGGAGGAGCAUUGCCUCUUUCUCUGUCUUUUGCCAAAGCAAAAGUUUUCUUUGCCCCUGGGUUCUGUCAUUUCUUCUCCCUGGUGCUCUGUCUGAAAGUUGGUUCUUCUCCCUGGUGCUCUGUCUGAAAGUUGGAUUUCUCUUGCUUCACACAAGAGAGAAGCUGAGGUGAUCUUCACUCUUGACUGGAUUCCUUUGGGCAUAGAGAUAAAAAUUAUUAAAAAAAAAAAA